AGAGUUUGAUCCUGGCUCAGAAUGAACGCUGGCGGCGUGCCUAACACAUGCAAGUCGAAUGUGCCGCAAGGUGCAUGGCAGACGGGUGAGUAACGCGUGGGCAAUCUACCUUUUCGUGGGGAAUAACGAUCCGAAAGGAUUGGUAAUACCGCAUGAGACCGAUGGCUGGGAUGCUGUCGGUGAAACCUGGGGACCGCAAGGCCUGGGGCGAGAAGAGGAGCCUGCGUCUGAUUAGCUAGUUGGCGGGGUAACGGCCCACCAAGGCCACGAUCAGUAGCUGGUCUGAGAGGACGACCAGCCACACUGGAACUGAGACACGGUCCAGACUCCUACGGGAGGCAGCAGUGGGGAAUUUUGGACAAUGGGCGAAAGCCUGAUCCAGCAAUGCCGCGUGAGUGAAGAAGGCCUUCGGGUUGUAAAGCUCCUUUGUCAGGGAAGAAACGGUGAAGGCUAAUAUCCUUCGCUAAUGACGGUACCUGAAGAAUAAGCACCGGCUAACUACGUGCCAGCAGCCGCGGUAAUACGUAGGGUGCAAGCGUUAAUCGGAAUUACUGGGCGUAAAGCGUGCGCAGGCGGUUUUGUAAGUCUGACGUGAAAUCCCCGGGCUCAACCUGGGAAUUGCGUUGGAGACUGCAAGGCUAGAAUCUGGCAGAGGGGGGUAGAAUUCCACGUGUAGCAGUGAAAUGCGUAGAGAUGUGGAGGAACACCGAUGGCGAAGGCAGCCCCCUGGGUCAAGAUUGACGCUCAUGCACGAAAGCGUGGGGAGCAAACAGGAUUAGAUACCCUGGUAGUCC
rnacentral:rRNA from 1 species